CCCAUAUUAAAAAAAAAAAAAAAAAGCUUAAAUCCUCUUGCAACCCAAGCACCAUGGAGGCAUUCUGGAAAAUCCCUUGCCAGCCAGCUUAGACUAACAAGAAAGUUCUAACAAGCUACACCUGCUGUGGAAUAAUCCUUCUGUACACUGUGAAGAUGUAUUGCUCUCAUUGUUAAAAAAAAAAAAAGAAAAGAAAAGAAAAGAAAAGCUGAUGGCCAAUAGCUAGGCAGGAUUUUCGGGGCAAGAGGAUGCUGGGAAGAAGGGCAGAAUCUCUGGAGUUGCCAGCUAGAUGAGGAAGAAACAACAUGCAUGGGAAGUUCAUAGAUGAGGUAAAUGAACCUCGGGACAGUGCAUAGAUGAAUAGAAAUGAGUUCAUUUAAGUUAUAAGUGCUAGCCGAAAACAAGCCUGGUGUAGGGGAUGCUGUAGCUACAUCUGCUUGGAGGCUGGCUACAGGGGUCCCUGACCAUGCCUGGGCGUGGUCAGGGGACUUAGAGUGAGGGAUGCUUACGUGGAGUUCUGCUUUCGGUUUCACUUUUGGUUUGCUGUACAGACUGCUGCCCUCCGGCUGGCUAGGUUGCUCUGUGCUCCCGGCUCACAGCAGACCCGCUACACCACACAGCGCAUUCCGGUUGCCAUUGAGCUGCUCAGAACCGACCACCCAGCUGGGAGACUUCCACAGACCUCCCCACGGUUACUGUCGCAGUUUCUAGCUGCAGGCACCAGACUGGCUCGGACUUCCACAUACCCGUGCCAGGAGGCCUCCUGCCCUAGAGCCGAGGAGGCCUCAGCUUUCAGCAGGGCCUGCAGCUUCCCCUAGCCACCACAGGUGUACAGCCGCAUCUUUUUCAAAAUAUUGGUAAUAUUUUUGUUUAUUACAUGAAUUCAAUGUUUGAGGAGGAUGCCAAUCUGCCAAUUACCAGCCUAUAUGCAGUAAUGGCAGUUAGCUUGCUGGUACAAAUAACAUUCCUAGCCAGAAUCCUCAGGAACAGGGACAAAGAUAACCUCACCACCUCCUUGCAGGAAAUAACAGCUUUACACAAUGAGGUUUUAGAGAACAGAUUAGGUCAGGCCACAAUUGUGCAGCAAGUGGAACAGAAAUUGGAUGAUAAGCUUGGCUCUGUGUCCAAUACACUAAAGACAGAGUUCUCUGUUACCCAAGAUGAGAUGCAGCAUAUUUAUGAUAAGAUGAACACAGAGAGAUCCUCCAUGUAUGAGGCAUUAGAGGCUAGGCUGUCAGAGGACCGUGAUGAACUAAAGAAUAUCUGUAGCCAGCUAGAAACUCAGAUAGGCUCGGUGACCCAGAAACUAGAUGCAAAGGUGCAAAAUACCCAGGAUAGGGUUGAAGAAUUGGACAAUGCCAUUCAAUCAAUUAUUGAAGCAUCUAAGGUAGCAGAUCACAAAUUUGAGUCUAGAUUCAAAUGUUUGGAAGAUAAUUUACAGUACAGUGCUGACAGAUUAGAUAGGUCCAUACGGUUGAUUGCUGAGGACUCAAAAUCAGCAAAUCAUGACCUCGAAUCUAGACUCCAAUACCUAGAAGGCAGUUUCCAUUCCAUCCAGAUGCUGUCUAAGGAUGACCGUAUUAAAGACCUAGAAAAACAUAUAGAAGAGCAGUUAGAGCAAUUUACAGAUUCACUAACAUGCUUGGAAUCUUUUAUGAUGCAGGAAAUUGAAAUGUUUCAUGAGGAUAUCAUUACUAGGCUUAAAGAUCAUUGGGAUGCCUCAGAGGCAGAAUCACUCCAGUCCAAGGCACCUACUCUACCCAGGUAUCAUGAUUAUUCUUCUAAGGUUGUUACUCAUACACCAUUAGUCUACCCAGCUACCAUGGUAGAAAAGCCAGCUUCUAAGGGACAGAUGGCGUAUGUAUGACAACCUAUACAGCUGAAGGAUCUUAAGAAUAUUAAAGAAUCAGUUGUCUCAUAUAGUCUCCAUAGCCCAUAUGUAAAACAGCUAUUACAUUCAUGGGCAACCUUUAACAGGGUGAUGCCCGCAGAUUGGGAAUGAUUUAGUGGCAGCUGUACUUGAGAAUUCAUGCCAAAUCCAGUGGAAGGCAUUUGUCAGGGAAGAGGCAAAGCUCCUUGAGUGUUAAGGCAUAAAGGAAGGUUAUGAAGCCCCUCUAGAUAAGAUUCUUUGUCAGGGUAUUUAUGCGAACCCAGAGGCUCAGGCUAAAUAUGAUGAUGAUAUACUGUCCUUAUGCAGGAAAGCAGCAUUAAAUGCCUGGAAUAAGGUUUGUGAGCCAGGAGAACGCCUAGAAGCUUAUACCAUAAUAGAACAGGGACCUACAGAACAGUUCCAGGACUUCUUACAAAGGUUAACUAGGGCAGUAGAAUUACAGGUAACAGAUCCAGAAACAAGACAAUCAAUUAUAUAUACAAUAGCUUAUAAAAAUGCAAUCCCAAUAUGCAAAAGAAUACUUUUGCCUUUAAAGAUCAGAUCAGCUGCACUAGAAGAAUGGGUUUUGCAUGCAGCCAACAUUGAUUAUCAUGUGCAAGAUACUGGAGUUUGGGUAGGAGAAUCCAUCUCAUAAGGUUUAAAAAGGUAACAGGAGAUUAAAAGUUCUAGAGGUGAGGAAGCAAGGGCUUUGGAGAGAGAAGCACCUUACAGAGGUCAACGUAGGUACCAAGAGGCUAGAGGUUAUUACUACUAUGAACCAGAACCUUGGGUAGGAAGUGUCUUCCCCAGGAGACCACGAAGGCAUCACGAACCUAGAUGUUUCAGCUGUGGUAGAAUGGGACAUAUCAAGAGAAAUUGUAGACAAAUGAAUUCUAACAAUGCCUCAUAUGGAAGGCCACUGCCUUCUGGAUUGUGUAGAAGAUGUGAUAAGGGCAGGCACUGGACCAAUGAAUGUAGAUCGAACAGGGACAUGAAAGGAAACCGGUUAAGGCUGGAAAACCCUGAGAGGGGGACUCAAGAAGGCCCCCACAUCGAGAAAGUUCAGGUCAUUCCCAAUAGCAGUGGAAGACAAUCUCUCACAGGAUGAAUAGAUAGUUCUUUGCCUAUUGUGAAAAAUGAUACUGCUCUAGAUAGUAGUUUGAAUAGGGAUGAAGAAUCAAAUGUGAAUGGACAAAAUGAGAAACGCAUAUUUUGGCAAACUUCUAUUAAUGAUAAAAGACCCCAGUUGAAAGUGAAAAUUAAUAGUAAAGUUAUUACUGGCAUAGUAGACAUUGGGGCAGAUGUGACUAUUAUUACCCAAAAGUCUUGGUCUCAGAAAUGACCUCUUAGAGAGGCAAAUGUACAAUUUUUAGCAAUUGGAACUCUAUCUAGAGUUCAACAGAGUGUUAACUCGGUGGUCUGCAUUGGACUGGAAGGACAGAAAGGGAGACUGAAACCAUACGUGGCAGAUAUAGCUAUAAAUCUUGGGGUCAUGAUCUCUUACAGCAAUGGAAUACUCAGAUUAAUAUUUCUCUAGUGUCAGAUACAAAUUAUGUACAAUUUUUAGAUAGUAGAAAAGAUCUGGUAAGAUACUAUGGAAAACGGUUACCAACCAUCCAGGCUGUACAGAAACUAAGUACAAAUGAUAGACCUUCAGAGGAGCCAAAGGCCCUGCCACUGAAGUGGCUUACAGAUGAUUCUGUUUGGGUAGGACAAUGGCCUAUGACCUCUGAGAAUCUAGAGGCUCUCGAAAAGUUAGUACAAGAACAGCUAGUGGCUGGACACAUAGGGGAAACUACCAGCCCUUGGAAUUCUCCUGUAUUUGCUAUCAAAAAGAAGUCAGGUAAGUGGAGAAUGCUGAUAGACCUGAGAGCCAUAAAUUAGGUAAUUCAACCAAUGGGCUCUCUACAACCUGGAAUGCCUUUGCCUUCCUUGAUACCUAAAGGAUGGCCUAUCAUAGUCAUUGAUCUGAAAGACUGCUUUUUCACAAUACCAUUACAGGAAAAUGAUGGAGAAAAAUUUGCAUUUACUGUACCAGCUCUUCAUAAUUCACAGCCAGUUAGGAGAUAUCAGUGGAGGGUUUUGCCACAAGGAAUGCUAAAUAGUCCUACUUUGUGUCAGCACUUUUACAUCAACCUUUGGAAAUAAUUCGUAAGAAAUUUUCACAAUCUCUUGUUGAUCAUUACAUGGAUGAUAUUCUUUUAUCAGAUUCUAAUAAAGAAACUUUGGUAUGUAUGUUUGAAAUGGUGAAGAAGUUCUGCCUCAUUGGGGGUUACAGAUUGCUCCAGAAAAGAUACGAAGAGGAGAUUCUUUUUAACUAUUUAGGUUACAAGGUAGACUUACAAAGAAUCAGACCUCAAAAGGUACAAAUUAGAAGGGAUCGUUAUCAAACUCUUAAUUCUCUUCAGAAACUAUUAGGAGAAAUUUCUCAAUUACAGAUGAUUAUUGGUGUAGAAGGACAUGACUUAAAGCAUUUAAAAAUGGCCCUUAAAGUUGAUAAGGACCUAAACAGUCAAAGAAUGUUAUCCACUGAAGCAGAAAAAGAGUUACGAUGGGUAGAAAACAGAAUAUUGGAUGCACAUGUAGAUCGGAUAAACCUUGAUUUAGAUUGUAUUCUGGUUAUCUUGCCAUCCAGAGAAACUGCUUCUGGAAUUCUGAUGUAGAGGGAAGACACCAUAUUGGAGUGGAUAUUUCUGCCACAUAAACAGAAUAAAAAGUUAAAGAAAUAUAUAGAAAAGAUUACUGAUUUGAUUCUAAAGGGCAAAUCAAGACUUCAUCAACUGACUGGAAAAGAUCCAGCAGAAAUUAUAGUACCUUUAACUAAUGAGAAAAUUUCUUCCUUGUGGAAGGACAAUGAAUAUUGGCAAAUAGCUCUUACUGACUUUUUGGGAAUGAUUAGCAACGACUAUCCCAAAACUGACAGAAUUAAAUUCAUAAAAAAGACAAUCUGGAUUCUUCCCCAUAUUGUAAGACAAACUCCCAUAUCUGGAGUUCUUACCUUCUACACUGAUGCCAACAAAUCAGGUAAGGUAAGGUAAGCAGGUGAGGAAAGUAAAGUAGUUCAAAGUCCAAAUACAUCUGUACAGAAGGCAGAAUUAUAUGCAAUUCUCAUGGUACUUGUGGAUUUUACAGAACCUCUUAAUAUAGUUACUGAUUCUCAAUAUGCAGAGAGAGUCGUGUUACACAUUGAGACUGCAGAAUUCAUUCCUAAUAAUACAGAAUUAACUUCACUGUUUAUACAAUUAUAGGAAACAAUCAGAAACAGAAGUAAUCCUAUAUACAUUACACAUAUCAGAUCCCAUACAGGUCUGCCAGGCCCACUAGCACAAAGCAAUGAUGAGAUUGAUUGUUUAUUAAUUGGAAGUGUGCUAAAAGCCUCAGAAUUUCAUAAGAAACAUCAUGUAAAUAGCAAAGGUUUAAAAAAGGACUUCGCCAUCACUUGGCAAAAAGCCAAGGAGUUAGUGAGAAACUGUCCUACUUGUUCCUUUUAUAAUCAAACUCCAUUGCCAGCAGGUUGUAAUCCUAAGGGAAUUAGGAGAAAUGAGGUUUGGCAGAUGGAUGUCUUUCACUUUAAAGAAUUUGGAAAUUUGAAAUAUGUGCAUCAUACUAUAGACACAUUCUCAGGGUUCCAAUGGGCUACUGCUCUUAACUCUGAAAAAGCUGAUUCUGUUAUUACACACCUGCUAGAGGUGAUGGCAGUUAUGGGUAUACCUGCACAAAUAAAAACAUGCUCCAGCACAUGUCUCCACAAAAUUGGAACAGUUUCUCAAAUAUUAUAACAUGAAGUAUGUCACCGGUAUACCACACAAUCCUACAGGACAAGCAGUGGUUGAGAGAUCUAAUAGAACACUUAAGGAGAUGCUCCACAGACGGGCUUGGAAAGCAAAACCUCCCAAACAUAGGAUGCAUAAUGCUUUAUUAACACUAAACUUUCUUAAUGCCAAUGAGAAAGGACAAACGGCUGCAGAAAGACACUGGACAACAGGAAAAACUGCUGAAUUGAAUCAGCCAGUAUACUUUAAAGAUGUACUAACCUCUGUAUGGAAACCAGGACAUGUGUUACGAUGGGGUAGGGGUUUUGCAUUGGUUUCCACAGGAGAAGAAAAACUUUGGAUACCAUCAAAGUUGAUCAAGAUUCGAGUUGAAAAGGAAAAACCUCUUGACGAGGACAAAUGACAGGUAUUCUACUAAGGUACAUCUUAUAAACUAAAUAGAAACCUCCCCCCAAAAGGGAAGUAUUUUGCUUUUAUCUUCACAGGAAAACUCAUCUCCAGAAGUCCAAGAACACUGCCUGGGUAGAUACUUAAGAAGAGAAGGUAGCUAUAACCAUCAAACAAAAGGAAUGUGCCAUAUGGUAAACUUUACAGCUGUCUCUCAGAGAACCCUAUUUCUCUUUAUUUCCUAGUCCCUAUCCAAUUAAACCAAUGCUGGAUUUAGAGGUGGAUUUGGCUUUCCUCCUCUAAAAUCCAAGCACAUUGUUUAACUAAACUUUAGAGUUUCUGUAUUAUAUCAAGAAGCCAAUUGAUGUAAUAUAAAAUAAGAAAAGAAUUUGGGGCCUGUCUUUGUCUUUUCUUGGCUCUUUCUUUCAAGGUGUACACCCUCUCAUAAUUGUUAUUCCCCCAUGGUUGCCUUUCCAAGCAUGUUUACAUACACAGGCAAACAUUUCUCUGCUGUUUGAGUCCCACACAGCCAAUGAAGACCUGCCUGACAGCAAUCCCUGGACACCCCAGAAAGAAAAUGGGCCACACCUCCACACCUGCACUGGAUCCAACUUGCUCCAUUUCAGCUGACACUCUGGCCAGAGGUUCGGGUACUGACUUCAAUCAAGUUGAGGAUUUCAAGCAAGAUCUUCAAUCAAGCGAAUCCCAUCUAUCAUGGACUGGAUACAAUCCAUUCAAGACUUUCACUAUACUAACAUUUUCUUCCUACAGGACCCCACAUGACUAUCAUUGUCCCAUUUCAGCAGGAAAUAACUUGGAGAAUGCUACACCUCCUUUCCCCCAUUGUUGUCACGUAGGAUAGUGUAUAUACCUAGUUAGGGAUAGCUUUCUAUUGUUUAUGGUUGGGAUUGGAAGGAGGUGUUCAGGUUUGGACACCUCUUUCAGAUGACUUUAGGGUUUAGUUAAAAUAGAUAGUUAGGAUGUAACAUAAGCAGAUUGUUGUAUCUUCUUAUAUUUCACCUUUAUGAUCAUUAAUUUUGGAUACUUUACACUGUUAAGUUUUAAUCCUCUUUUAGACUAAAAGGGGAAUUGCAGGGGAUGCUGUAGCCACGCCUGCUUAGGGGCUGGCUACGGGUGUGCCUGACCAUGCCUGAGAGGGUGUGGUCAGGGGAUGUAGAGGGAGGGAUUUGUACGUGGCGCUGUGCUUUCAGUUUCACUUUCGGCCUGCUGUACAGACUGCUACCGGCAGGCUGGCUAGGUCGCUCUACUUACUACAGCACUCUCGGCAGCCAGUAAGUUUAACUGGAUGGUCUCAUGGGGCUCUUUUCCUUGGUAACAAGCCUGAGCCAUACCUUCUUCAAUCCUGCAGAAAUUCAGAGGAAAAUGGCAUCCAUAUUUAGAAUGAGGUAAAAGCUGACUCAGCGUGUAUAUUGGUCAUGGUUCUCUUUGCUGUCAUCAAAUGCCAGACAAGAAGGAGGAAGGCUUCACUUCGGAUUAUGGUCUGCAGACCGUGGUGAGGAAGACUUGUCUCCGUGGUAGCAGGAGCAUGCAGCAGCUGCUCACUCUCAUCCCCCUGUACCAGGACACAGAUGGGGCUAGACUUGGACUGGGUUACAAACC
rnacentral:lncRNA from 1 species